rnacentral:rRNA from 1 species
UACAGAGGGGGCAAGCGUUGUUCGGAAUUACUGGGCGUAAAGGGCGCGUAGGCGGCCUGCUAAGUCGAACGUGAAAUCCCCGGGCUCAACCCGGGAACUGCGUCCGAUACUGGUGGGCUUGAAUCCGGGAGAGGGAUGUGGAAUUCCAGGUGUAGCGGUGAAAUGCGCAGAUAUCAGGAGGAACACCGGUGGCGAAGGCGGGUCUCUGGGCCGAUACUGACGCUGAGGAGCGAAAGCAUGGGUAGCGAACAGG